rnacentral:rRNA from 1 species
AAUAGAUACCCAGGUAGUCCACGCCGUAAACGAUGAGUGCUAAGUGUUAGGGGGUUUCCGCCCCUUAGUGCUGCAGCUAACGCAUUAAGCACUCCGCCUGGGGAGUACGGUCGCAAGACUGAAACUCAAAGGAAUUGACGGGGGCCCGCACAAGCGGUGGAGCAUGUGGUUUAAUUCGAAGCAACGCGAAGAACCUUACCAGGUCUUGACAUCCCACUGACCGCUAUGGAGACAUAGUUUUCCCUUCGGGGACAGUGGUGACAGGUGGUGCAUGGUUGUCGUCAGCUCGUGUCGUGAGAUGUUGGGUUAAGUCCCGCAACGAGCGCAACCCUUGAUCUUAGUUGCCAUCAUUUAGUUGGGCACUCUAAGGUGACUGCCGGUGACAAACCGGAGGAAGGUGGGGAUGACGUCAAAUCAUCAUGCCCCUUAUGACCUGGGCUACACACGUACUACAAUGGACGGUACAAACGGUUGCCAACCCGCGAGGGGGAGCUAAUCCGAUAAAACCGUUCUCAGUUCGGAUUGUAGGCUGCAACUCGCCUAC